rnacentral:rRNA from 1 species
UACGAAGGGGGCUAGCGUUGUCCGGAUUUACUGGGCGUAAAGAGCGCGCAGGCGGUCGUUCAAGUCGAGUGUGAAAGCCCCCGGCUCAACUGGGGAGGGUCACUCGAUACUGAUCGACUCGAAGGCAGGAGAGGGAAGUGGAAUUCCCGGUGUAGUGGUGAAAUGCGUAGAUAUCGGGAGGAACACCAGUGGCGAAGGCGACUUCCUGGCCUGUUCUUGACGCUGAGGCGCGAAAGCUAGGGGAGCAAACGGG